UACGGAGGGAGCUAGCGUUGUUCGGAAUUACUGGGCGUAAAGCGCACGUAGGCGGCCCAGCAAGCGGGGAGUGAAAGCCCUCGGCUUAACCGAGGAAGUGCUUUCCGAACUACUGGGCUUGAAUACUGGAGAGGGUCGCGGAAUUCCCGGUGUAGAGGUGAAAUUCGUAGAUAUCGGGAGGAACACCAGUGGCGAAGGCGGCGACCUGGACAGAUAUUGACGCUGAGGUGCGAAAGCGUGGGGAGCAAACAGGAUUG
rnacentral:rRNA from 1 species